GUGGUAAAAAAACCAUAACUGGAAGAGAGAGCAUCAAAGCGGAAGUUGCAGGAUAAGGAAUGAGAAUUGCAAACGUGGGAUUCAAACAACCCUCCACGUUCUACGAACUACCAACCAGAUCAAAGCCGGCACCUCGAUUUCAAUUCCUAUUCUUUCACGUCCUUCCCCCUCACUCCCAACACCAUCUCCACUCCCUCUCUCGCUCUCUCUAAAAUCUAAAAUUAAAUCACGGUGUGUUUCUGAAUGCAGGGAAGAGGAAUUCUCGAAAUUUAGCUUUGCGCAGGCAAAGUGUGGGCUUUGAGAGCGAGCCAAAACUAUCUAGCGAUUCGAUGGAAUCGGAGAAGGAAUUUCCAGGGUUGAACCAGAGCCUGUACUCGACUAUUGAACCUACCCUCUAGAGAAAAGCUUGACGGAGCCGAAACCGUGACCAACCAUCAUCCGCUUUCUCCCAUAACAUCAUACGCUUAUUCUCGCAACUCUCCUCGCAGUCCACACCGGAUGCCUUCGGCAUUGCGUUCGACAUCGACGGCGUCGUUUUACGAAGCGAAGCUCCCAUCGGAGGCUCUCCUCGGGCCUUCAGAAGAUUGUACGACGAUUCUGGUAAUCUCAGGAUUCCAUACGUGUUCUUGACAAAUGGAGGUGGGAUUAGUGAAUCCAAAAGAGCCCUUGAGUUAAGUUCACUUUUAGGAGUGAAGAUUUCACCUUUACAGGUUUUACAGGGCCAUACACCUUUUAAGCAGUUACUAAACAGAUUUGAGAAUGAACUCAUUGUUCGCUUUCUGUCCAAAACUAAGUAUUUCAUGGUACAAAACCAGAAACUUGAACGGACAUCCAUUGCAAGCAUAUCCCCUGAUCAUGAAAUUCCAUAGGAACAAGUUUUUCAGUAAAAUCCCACAAAAAAACUGCUGCGCUUGGGGCAUUUUACCGCAAAAUCUCUCUGGCUUUAAUUCUUUGUUGUUUUAUCCUUUCUGUUUCCAAGCUUUUGAUGAAUUCCAGAUGGUUGCGAUUUAUUAGUUAAAGUUACUUCUUGCUUCCUGUUUGGGUUAAUAUUUAAUAUUGGGCUUUAUGUUAGUGACACCCAAGGAUGCCAAAGUGAUAGGACUUUAGCUGAAGCAGCUAAAUUUGAGUGUUUUAAUCGGUUGUAUAUAUCACCCAGUUUACUUGUUCCUACUGCUGCUCAACAGGGACGAGUUUCACAGUAGACCCAUUUGUUGAGGCUCGAAGAAAAAGGAAGGGGGGAAAGUAUAUUCUUGCCAUAGAUUUUCUGUUGGGAGUGAGCAUUGAAGAAAAGGGAAGGUGAUAACAGCGGAAGAGAUAAAUUUUUCCAUGGAGCGUGGCCAAAGUCGUGCAAGACAAUGGCGUCAAUCAUUGAGUCCUGAAGAACAUCAAAGAUAUCUAGCUCGACGACGUCUAAUAGCACAAGAAAAAAGACAACAAAUUCCAACUCUAUAUGAUGAUCAUACUAUGACAUCCCCCAGUAACAUACAACAAGAAAUUCCUGGUCCCAAUAAUAUACAAGAACGGGUUCAGUUGGCUAACUAUGAUGUUGAGGUCGACCCCAGUAAUAUAGAACAACAAAUUCCUGAACAAAUUGAGCAUGAAAGCGCGAAUUCAAGGGUUUUGUCAGAUAUCACAAAUCAUGAUGACCAAACUUCUACUAGAAU